CAGGCACUCAGCAGUGAGAGCAAGAAGUCCUAACCACUGGACUGCCAGGGAAUUCCCCCAUCAGGGACUUCCUUGGUGGCGCAGUGGUUAAGGAUCUGCCUGCCAAUGCAGGGGACACAGGUUGGAGCCCUGGUCCAGGAAGAUCCCACAUGCUGUGGAGCAACUAAGCCCGUGUGCCCCAACUACUGAGCCUGUGCUCUAGAGCCCACAAGCCACAACUACUGAGCCCAUGUGCCACAACUACUGAAGCCCACGCGCCUAGAGCCCAUGCUGCACAACAAGAGAAGCCAUUGCAAUGAGAAGCCUGCACACCACAACGAAGAGUAGCCUCCAUUCGCCACAACUAGAGAAAGCCCGCGCACAGCAGUGAAGACCCAACGCAUACACACACAAAAAGUCAUGUUGCACCAAGAGAACGCUGGAAGAUCUACCUGUGUUCUUUCCCCAAGAAAAUAUAUCCCAGCUUUGUUCUGUUCUAGUUAUAGUUUUAAAGCAGAAAUCACUCUAUGCAUUUCAUCCUAGAAAUCAAUAUGGGACACCAGAGAGAUCUGCACAUCUGUACAUCGAGGUGGUAGACUGGAACACACAGAGGAUGUGAAACGGUGGAGGCAAUGUCUGUGACCCAGUGCCCCAGCCCAGGUGGCUAAGCCUACAGCCUCAGAAAACCCAGGAACAGCACACUACUCUGGCCUCCUGGCCACAGCGGGGCCCAUAGGGAAUUGGGCAACAACACUGGUGGGGACACAACCUUGUCUCUCCAGCUGCAGCUGCACAUAUGACUCUGGCACCUGCCUGCUUUGGUGGCCUUCGGAAACCUUACGACCCCAGAAAGGCAUAGGUGCCCACAACCCUGGACGUGGUGGAGGCAUCGGCCAUCCCAGCACUCCCAGUGUUGAUGCCAGCUAUAGCAGCACCAGCAGCAGCAAGGCACCAGCAACCCCAGAGGCACAUCCAAAGACAAGGAGAGAACUAGAGACACAUCUGGCAGUGGCAGUGUAAGGUGGAAAGUGUAGAUUCUCAAAUACAGCCAAAGACGGCACAGGUAAGUGGAACCAAAAAUUUGUGCUGUAGCGCCACCUACUGAAAAGCAAAAGAAAGGUUUCUAAUUACCAACCUGUUGAAUGGUUAGAAUCGAAGUUAAAAAAUUU